rnacentral:rRNA from 1 species
UACGUAGGGUGCAAGCGUUAAUCGGAAUUACUGGGCGUAAAGCGUGCGCAGGCGGUUUUGUAAGUCUGUCGUGAAAGCCCCGGGCUCAACCUGGGAAUUGCGAUGGAGACUGCAAGGCUUGAAUCUGGCAGAGGGGGGUAGAAUUCCACGUGUAGCAGUGAAAUGCGUGAGAGAUGUGGAGGAACACCGAUGGCGAAGGCAGCCCCCUGGGUCAAGAUUGCGCUCAUGACACGAAAGCGUGGGGAGCAAACAGGG